rnacentral:lncRNA from 1 species
ACUGAAUUUGUGAAUGGUGGAUCUAAAAAAGUAUAGAAAACUUGUGUUAUUUAUAGAUAAAAGUUAGGUUAAAAAAUUGAGUAAGAUUUCUCUAUUAAAGACCGAUGAUGAUGGAACAACUUUUUUAGACUGAAUUUGUGAAUGGUGGAUCUAAAAAAGUAUAGAAAACUUGUGUUAUUUAUAGAUAAAAGUUAGGUUAAAAAAUUGAGUAAGAUUUCUCUAUUUUUGGAAUGAUUUCAUUUGACCUGAUUUUAUCUAUUACUUAAAGGUUAACUCAAUAAAUCUGGAUGGAUUCAUGAUAUUGGUGAAUAAAUGGAAUAAAAAUUGAUUUUAAUAAAUAAAAGUAAUAAUAAAUAAUGUGAUAAAUGUAAUAGUAAAAAGAUUUUGACUUUUUUUUACUUUAUAGUGAGUUUCUUUGAUUUUUAGACUAAAAAUCAUGAAAAAUCAACAAUAUAAUAAUCAUCAAAAAUAAAAUAAUAAAAAAUUUGAAAAAAAAUAAAUAAAAAAUAAAAAGGUGCAAUUUUAAUUAUAAAAUAAAAUAUAAAAGGGAGAAAAAACUCUAAAAGUGGAAAAAACAUAAAAAGAGGGCAAAAAAACUUUAAAAGUGGGGAAAAUAAGAUUCAAACUCAAGACAUCUCUCUCAUAGCUCCUUACACCUACUCUUCUAUCAAUUGU